AGAGAGAGACAUGCGCGCAUAUCAAUAAGCGGAGGAAAAGAAACUAACUAGGAUUCCCUCAGUAACGGCGAGUGAAGCGGGAAGAGCUCAAAUUUGAAAUCUUCAAGGUUUUACCUUGACGAAUUGUAGUUUAAAGAAGUGUUUUCUGUUGAAGUUUUGGUAAAAGUUCUUUGGAAUAGGACAUCAUAGAGGGUGAGAAUCCCGUAUUUGACCAUUAUUUUCCAGCUGUGUGAUACACUUUCAAAGAGUCGGAUUGUUUGGGAAUGCAGUCCAAAAUGGGUGGUAAAUUUCAUCUAAAGCUAAAUAUUGGCGAGAGACCGAUAGCGAACAAGUACCGUGAGGGAAAGAUGAAAAGAACUUUGAAAAGAGAGUUAAACAGUACGUGAAAUUGUCAAAAGGGAAGCGUUUGACACCAGUGUUGUUUUCUCGAAAAUCAAUUAAAAAAGGCAGGAUUUUGUGUUGUAUUGACUUUAUCAGCUUUCUGCACUCUUUUCUUGUCUUUUUUAAUGCACUUUUCGUUUAACAAGUCAACAUCAAUUUCUUUUGUUGUAAAAGGGUCAUUGGAAGGUGGCUUUCUUUUCGGAGAAAGUGUUUAUAGCCUUUGGCCUCUGCAAUCGGAGAGAUUGAGGUCUGCAGCGUAGAUCCUUCGGGGUUAGAUACAUUUGUGCUAAGUUAUAGCCUUUCAUAGACAACUUGUUGACUAUGAUCAGUCAUGUAGCUUACUCGCUUAUGCUAUUUUACCUACGCUUAGGAUGUUGAUGUGAUACUGCGAGC
rnacentral:rRNA from 1 species